GUCUCUGUAGCUCAAUGGGUAGAGCGUUGGACUUCUCAUCCAAAGGUCGUGGGUUCUAAUUCCACCUGUGAUG